rnacentral:misc_RNA from 1 species
UACGAAGGGGGCUAGCGUUGUUCGGAAUUACUGGGCGUAAAGCGCACGUAGGCGGACUCGUCAGUCAGAGGUGAAAUCCCGAAGCUUAACUUCGGAACUGCCUUUGAUACUGCAAGUCUUGAGGAUGAGAUGGGUAAGUGGAACUGCGAGUGUAGACGUGAAAUUCGUAGAUAUUCGCAAGAACACCAGUGGCGAAGGCGGCUUACUGGCUCAUUUCUGACGCUGAGGUGCGAAAGCGUGGGGAGUAAACAGG